GGGUAUUUAGCUCAGCGGCAUAAGCGCCUGCCUUGCAAGCAGGCAGUCCUGAGUUCAAUCCCCG
rnacentral:tRNA from 1 species